GAUGAAGAACGUAGCGAAAUGCGAUAAGUAGUGUGAAUUGCAGAAUUCAGUGAAUCAUCGAAUCUUUGAACGCACAUUGCGCCCCUUGGUAUUCCAUGGGGCAUGCCUGUUCGAGCGUCAUUUUGUACCCUCAAGCUUUGCUUGGUGAUGGGUGUUUGUUCCGCUGCAACGCGUGAACUCGCCUCAAAUCAAUUGGCAGCCGGCGUACUUGUUUCGGAGCGCAGCACAUUUUGCGAUCCAGAUCAACGUACAGCGGCAUCCAAGAAGCCUUAUUUAACGCUCUUGACCUCGGAUCAGGUAGGGAUACCCGCUGAACUUAAGCAUAUCAAUAAGCGGAGGA
rnacentral:misc_RNA from 1 species